CCUACGGGAGGCAGCAGUGAGGAAUAUUGGUCAAUGGGCGCUAGCCUGAACCAGCCAAGUAGCGUGAAGGAUGACUGCCCUAUGGGUUGUAAACUUCUUUUAUCUGGGAAUAAAGUGCAGUAUGUAUACUGCUUUGCAUGUACCUUAUGAAUAAGGAUCGGCUAACUCCGUGCCAGCAGCCGCGGUAAUACGGAGGAUCCGAGCGUUAUCCGGAUUUAUUGGGUUUAAAGGGAGCGUAGGCGGGUUGUUAAGUCAGUUGUGAAAGUUUGCGGCUCAACCGUAAAAUUGCAGUUGAUACUGGCAGCCUUGAGUACAGUAGAGGUAGGCGGAAUGCGCGGUGUAGCGGUGAAAUGCUUAGAUAUCACGAAGAACUCCGAUUGCGAAGGCAGCCUGCUGGACUGUAACUGACGCUGAUGCACGAAAGUGUGGGUAUCAAACAGGAUUAGAUACCCCUGUAGUC
rnacentral:rRNA from 1 species